UGUGAGAAAAUUUUGAACAUUUAAAUGCUAGGUUGAAAAGUUGUUUCAGUUCCAUACAAAUGGCAUUUUGCAAACUUAUGCUUAAACUCAUGAGAUUUUCUGCAACUAAUACAAUUUAAGAAAUAUCUAUUGUUGUUGCACUAGGGAAUCUGCAUUCUGUUAAAUGGGUAGUUUCAGCUGUUCUGAAUUCUUUGGGAAUUACUGCAUGCCUAAAGAGGCCUACAAGAAAUCUGGAGAGGGACUUUUUUCAAGGACAUGUUGUGGUAAGUCAAAGGGGAAUGGCUUUAAACUGAAAGAAGGAAGAUUUAGAUUAGACAUAAGGAAGAAAUUCUUUACCAUGAGGGUGGUAAGGCACUGGCACAGGUUGCCCAGAGAAGUUGUGGAUGCUCCAUCCCUGUAACUGUUUGGGGCCAGGUUGGAUUGGACUUUGAGCGGCCUGGUGGUUGCUCAAAGUUGGAGGUGUCCCUGCCUAUGGCAGGGGGGUUGGAAUUAGAUGAUCUUUUGGUCCAACCCAAACUACUCUGUGAUUCUAUGAUUCUGUGAUAUAACUGGCAUUCUGAUUAAGCAGAACAGUAUGAAAAGGAGCAUGGUUGCAGAUGGUUUGUGCCUUUAGACAAAGACUGUGAUUUGGUCCUCAAAAUACUGUUCUCCCUGACUGCAUGUGUGCUGUCUCCUCUGUAGCUCCCAGGAUGUCUGCUCUCCACAUUCCCAGUGGCAUCAUGCUCUCUGUACAGAACCUGGCUCUGUGUCACAUAGGACUUCUAAACUGAUGAUGUUCUCCACAUCCUCUCCUGAACUGUGGACCAAUCCAGCAAUACAAGCAGAAGGAACAACUCAACCACCACCAUCUGGUGGCUGCAUCCCAGUGCUCUAUCCUAUUUUCCAUGCUUGGUUACCUCACACACUGGCUCAAGCAGGCAGAAAAUCUCAUGAUCACAGGUAACAAACAGGAAGAUAUUUGUGGAAUACAUAAGGCGCAGCUGUUCUUACCACUUUAUGAUCUCCAGUACAACGAAAUCCUCAUUUGCGCAUCUUCAUAAAAUACAUAGUGCCUGCAUAAAAUACAUAGUGUCUGCAUCUAGCAAAGAUAAGCUGCCUUAACAUGGCUGUUGCAAAGAUGAAGAAAUCCUAGCAUAUUCUUGCAUCAUAGCAUUUAAGGCAGCUUGCAGGUUCUGAAGCAAUCCCGGGAUUGUCUUGCAGUUCUAGUCACUGCACAGCCACCCCUCUGCCUGAAGGGCAAGAGUGUGAACUGCUGCUGCCAUGGAAGAAGCCAUGGCAUUUGCUGUUGAGGAGCCUGAAUAAAACACAGCUUUCCUGAGAAAUGUUUGGAAAUGCAUGCUGUGUGUGCUAGCUUGUGCAGCGCCGCACUGAUUGCUGUCAGCCCUUUUUCAUGACCUCAAGGCAUUGUCUGAUAUGAUUCCCAAGAUCAAGGAUAUGGAUAGCACUUAGAAGUCUGUUGCCUGCUUUGCCACAGACUUCCUGUGUGACUUCCUUAAACUGAAACAUACAAUGUAACUGCUCUGCUGAAGUCUUGCCCCUAAAGUGUAUUGAGAAUAAAGCUUUAUGAGCCUUAUGAAGUAUGAGGAAUGCUUAGAAAUUACCUGAAGUGCUUGGUUAAAUAAAGCAAAUACACAAUAAAUUUGGGUCAGAUACAAAGGAUCGAUAGGUAGGUAGGUAGAUAGGUAGAUAUAGACAGGAUAGAUAGGACACAUCAGACACACUCAUAUAAGCAGAUCAUGGUAAAGGAAUCUGUGACAAUUUGCAACAUUUUUGUUUACAGUAAUUUAUGUAACGGAGUGUGAGAAGUUGCUUGGCAUACUGGCCUUCACGAGAAAAUUACCUUGCAGUUUUCACAAGGGGGAAUAUUUGGAUGGCUAGUCCUAGUAGCCCACUCACUGUGCAUUCACGUCUUACGGUGUUUUCUUCACGCACCCACAUUUGGUUCUUAACAUGUUGGAGCUGAAAAGGUCCAACCUGGUUUAGUCGCAUAAUACUGAAGUGUUUUGUGAGUGAGCACACUGAAGAUGUACUGAUUUUCUAAAAUCCAAAAGUAAAAUCAGGACUUUUAAAAGUGGGAAAUGAGACCAGAAGAGUUCAUACAAGACCAGAAAAUAUUCUAAAUGUGACCUUCUUAAAACUUCUGAGAGCAAAAGUGAAAUAAAAAGUGAAACUGUUUCUUCUUAAUAAUGAUUAUUAUGUUAUUUAGUAAAAAAUAAUUUUAAAGCAUUUUUAGCUAAUUGCUAUAGAAUCUAGAAAUAGGCAAAAUAUUACCUUGUAUAUUGACUAGUUACAUUCUGCUGCAUCACAGAAAAACAAAUGGAUCCAUACUCUUUCUGUACUCUUAGAAAUUUCCUUGUUCAACGAGAAUAGUUUUGUUUGUAUGGAAACUGUAAAUAUUGUGAAAAUUCUGAGCUGAAACUUUUAACAAUAUGAGCCCUAAAUUUCUUUUAAAGGACCUGUUUGGUGCAUAACUGAUAGGAAUACCAAAAUUCCUUGUCCCCCAAAGGAUUUCAUAUCCUGGUAUGACUUGGACAAGGACAUAGUCAUAUUUUUUUUUUCUCAAAAUACUUGUGCCCCAGCCCAUCUGUUUUACAGAUGAAAGCUUCUCCUUGUAUGAUGUCAUGGUUUAAACCCAUCAGGUAACUCAGUACCAUGCAGCCACUCACUCACUCCCAGACUAGGAUGGAGAGGAGAAUUGAAAGAAUGUAAACCCCAUGAGUUGAGAUAAGAACAGUUUAAUAACUGUAAUAAAGUACGGUAUACUACUACUACCACUAAUAAUAAGAAGAAAAAUAACAUGGAGAUAAUAUAAAACUAAAAUGGGGGAAAAAAAACAACCAAUAAACUCAAGUGAUGGACAAUACAAUUGCUCACUACCUGCUGACUGAUACCCAGCCCAACCCAAGCAGCAAUCUGGGCCUUCCAGGUGACUCCCCCCAGUUUGUAUACUGGGCAUAAUGUGCUGUGGUAUGGAAUACCUCUUUGGCUAGUUUGGGUCAGGUGUCCUGUCUCUGCUUCCUCCCAGUUUCUUGUGCCCCUCCUCACUGGCAAAGCAUGAUACUGAAAAGUAUUUGAUCAGGAUAAGUGUUACUGCCAACAAUUAACACAUCAGUAUGUUAACAGCAUUGUGCUCAGACUGAAGCCAAUAGCACUGCACCAGCUACUAGGGAGAAAAUUAACUCUGUCCCAGCCAAAACCAGGACAAUCUUUCUGUAAGUCAGACUCAGAGCAUUCAGAAAACAUUUUCUUCAUAGCUUACAUACAGUCUAGCAAUCCCUAACCACAUGCCCUUCAGAAUGUUUGGUUAUUUUGCCUGUGCAUGAACAGAAGUUUUCAUUUGGUUAUAUGUGGCCAGUAAAGGAAAUUAUUACUUGGGAAAUAUCUACCCUUUAUCUGAUAUUUUGUCACGUCUUGGAGUUGUGCCACACAGUACUGAGGAUAUUAAUUAAGCCAGAAUUACUUCAGAGAAUUUAUCUACAUUGCAAACAGAAACACCCAUCUGAAUUCCAUCCGUCCAGGAGAAUUCUUACUGGUUUUAUGACUGGAUACAAACCCUUAAAACACUGAUUUCCCCAUCAGGACCUGCCUGUGACCUUGCAGUCAGCAUAAGGCUAAAGCAAAUAUUUUCACAAAGCAUAGCUGUAGGAGAGCUUGCUGCAAAACGUAGUAGCUCAUUUCCCUAGGAAGCCAAAAAUUAGCUACAAAAACACUGUAAAUUCAUCAGAUGCUUUUUCUGCAUAGUCCUCCACAAACCUACUCAUCUUCUGAUCGCUUUUGGAAGUAGUUAAUCUUUGUUUCUCAGUUCUUUCAGAUAGUCUACCAAAUCACUGGCCAAGUGAGCUGCCACAAAGCAGUAUGUUAUGAUUUUGAUAUGGAGUGCGUAUGUUUAAUUCUAAUGAAGGAACAUUUGAAAACUGCUGUACACCAAUCUGGCAUGGAACCAUAUUAGCUUGGGCCCAGCAUCAUUCCAUCAUGCCUGCUGGGGUUUUGAUUAAGAAUUAGAUCAGCUACAACCAGUGUAAAGUGUGUACAUGGCAAGCUUGGGUUUAUCUGUAAUUGUCUACGAUCUAAAUCUAUUUAUUAAAUUUUAACUGAUAAAAUAAAUAAAAGCAUUUUAAAGAAA